rnacentral:misc_RNA from 1 species
GAGAGAAUCAAAAAGUCACACAUCUCGGUGUGUGUCUUUUUCUUCUUCCUUUUCACCCUCAGAACGUAUUGUGCACUGGACCCCUCUCGAAAGCGUUGUUUUCGAACAACUCUUUCCUACUUUCUUUACACGCUCAAAACAUGUCUUGAAUGUUGAUACAAAUUCAUAAAGAGUA